GGCCGGUCGUUCACAGCGGUGGCCACGCAUAGGACGUGAUUCGGUGUAAACGUUGUGAUCCUACCACAUUGCACCAAUCCCGGCCUGCACGCGGCCUCGGCUCUGGUAGCUGAUCAGC
rnacentral:precursor_RNA from 12 species